rnacentral:rRNA from 1 species
CCUACGUGAGGCAGCAGUGGGGGAUAUUGCACAAUGGGGGGAACCCUGAUGCAGCGACGCCGCGUGGGUGAAGAAGCGCCUCGGCGCGUAAAGCCCUGUCAGCAGGGAAGAAAAUGACGGUACCUGAAGAAGAAGCCCCGGCUAACUACGUGCCAGCAGCCGCGGUAAUACGUAGGGGGCAAGCGUUAUCCGGAUUUACUGGGUGUAAAGGGGGCGCAGACGGCGAUGCAAGCCAGGAGUGAAAGCCCGGGGCCCAACCCCGGGACUGCUCUUGGAACUGCGUGGCUGGAGUGCAGGAGGGGCAGGCGGAAUUCCUGGUGUAGCGGUGAAAUGCGUAGAUAUCAGGAGGAACACCGGUGGCGAAGGCGGCUUACUGGACAGUAACUGACGUUGAGGCUCGAAAGCGUGGGGAGCAAACAGGAUUAGAUACCCGGGUAGUC